rnacentral:rRNA from 7 species
GGUUAAGCGACUAAGCGUACACGGUGGAUGCCCUGGCAGUCAGAGGCGAUGAAGGACGUGCUAAUCUGCGAAAAGCGUCGGUAAGGUGAUAUGAACCGUUAUAACCG